rnacentral:rRNA from 1 species
CACGUAGGGUGCGAGCGUUGUCCGGAAUUAUUGGGCGUAAAGAGCUCGUAGGUGGUUUGUCGCGUUGUUCGUGAAAACUCACAGCUCAACUGUGGGCGUGCGGGCGAUACGGGCAGACUGGAGUACUGCAGGGGAGACUGGAAUUCCUGGUGUAGCGGUGGAAUGCGCAGAUAUCAGGAGGAACACCGGUGGCGAAGGCGGGGUCUCUGGGCAGUAACUGACGCUGGAGGAGCGAAAGCGUGGGGAGCGAACAGG